CAGGAUCCAAACUCAGUUUUAGACGAGACUGAAUAUCUGACCAAAAUUAUCAUAUUUACACUUUGUAGUCAAUUUUGACUCUAGAAUAAAUGUUUCUGACUCAUAUCGAUUCCACAGGCCGUUUUCACAAUGAUUAGUUGGUUUUUAGGGGGAGUCGUUCAUUAACCCUCUGAUCGGAGGAGAGCAACGUUUUAGCUACAUUUUGCCUCCAAAAAGAAAAUACGACCCCGAAUUGCAGAAACACAGGUUGUAACUUGUUCGCUAUCUUCAGCUGAUUCCGAAUGUAAUUUCUAUCAUCCUGGCACAUUCCGUUGAAACGGGUAUUGUCGUGCAAAGUGUAACCUUUAAUAUAAAGCUAACUAUACCCUAGUCACACUUUCAGGAAUUUCACAGCCGUAAUGCAUUGGAAGAGGAUAUUUUUGAUAGUUCUCUUCAAAUAAACAACUUGGAAGAUGGCAAAUAGCGAAGCGUCUGCGGUGGUGUUCAAAUGGUCUGAUGACAAUACUGGGCAUUUAAUUCAGUGGCGAAUAACACCUGUUCACCGGCAGGAGAAAUGCCACAACAAAAGGUUUUGAGAUCUAUGUGAAGGAGUGUGAGUUGGCGGGGCAGCUGCAUCGGUGAAAAAGAAGUGGGAGAAGGAGGUGACUGCCAAGGAUGGGCAUGCCUUAUGGCCAUUUUAGAGUCCAUGAUUAAGAAGUAGUUAUACGUAUUGUAUUUCUAGAUAUUCAUUUAUACAUUUUCUACUGUUUUUGGUGAAGUCUUGAAGUGGAUUUCUGUUUUGUCAUUGAAAAGUGUUU